GAUGAACGCUAGCGGCAGGCCUAAUACAUGCAAGUCAAGGGGAUCAGCAAUGGUCACCGGCGGACGGGUGCGUAACACGUACACAACAUACCUUUAAGUGGGGGAUAGCAUUGGGAAACUGGUGGUAAUACCCCAUAAGAUUGCGGAGCGGCAUCACUCAGCAAUUAAAGUUACGACGCUUAAAGAUUGGUGUGCGUCCGAUUAGCUAGUUGGCGGGGUAACGGCCCACCAAGGCGACGAUCGGUAGGGGGUGUGAGAGCAUGACCCCCCACAUGGGUACUGAGACACGGACCCAACUCCUACGGGAGGCAGCAGUAAGGAAUAUUGGACAAUGGACGGAAGUCUGAUCCAGCCAUGCCGCGUGCAGGAUGAAGGCGCUCAGCGUUGUAAACUGCUUUUGGAUGGGAAUAAUAACCUCGAUUCAUCGGGGCUUGAAGGUACCAUCAGAAUAAGCACCGGCUAACUCCGUG
rnacentral:rRNA from 1 species